rnacentral:rRNA from 1 species
CCUACGGGCGGCAGCAGUGGGGAAUAUUGCACAAUGGGGGGAACCCUGAUGCAGCGACGCCGCGUGGGUGAAGGAGUAUUUCGGUAUGUAAAGCCCUAUCAGCAGGGAAGAACAAUGACGGUACCUGACUAAGAAGCACCGGCGAAAUACGUGCCAGCAGCCGCGGUAAUACGUAUGGUGCAAGCGUUAUCCGGAUUUACUGGGUGUAAAGGGAGCGCAGGCGGCGCGUUAAGCCUGGUGUGAAAGGCCGCGGCCCAACGGCGGGACUGCAGUGGGAACUGGCGAGCGGGAGUGCCGGAGGGGUAGGCGGAAUGCCUAGUGUAGCGGUGAAAUGCGGAGAUAUUAGGAGGAACACUAGUGGCGAAGGCGGCCUACUGGACGGUGACUGACGCUGAGGCUCGAAAGCGUGGGGAGCAAACAGGAUUAGAUACCCCAGUAGUC